rnacentral:rRNA from 1 species
ACAGCACUUGGAGGAUGUAUAGCAAUAGCUAGUUGCAUCAUAGUAGAUAUGAUGCAAGAUCGACUAUGUUGAAUAAAAUUCUAGGUAGAAUUAUGAUAAUGACAUUGUCUGCCUAUGUGUCUUGACCAAAUUACGUGCCAGCAGUCGCGGUAAUACGUAGAAGACUAGUGUUAUUCAUGUUUAAUCGGUUUAAAGGGUACCUAGACGGUAGAUCAAGCUUUCUAAUAAAGGAAAAGGACUAAUUUACUAGAGUUACUUAUGAGGGGGUAUUAAAGUACUGCUGGUGUAGAGAUGAAAUUCUGUCAUACCUCUUUUCAAAAGAAAAACCAUGGCACAGGUAUAGGCGAAGGCAUCCCCUUAUGUGAUAACUGACGUUGAGGGACGAAGGCUUUGUGUAGCGAACAGGAUUAGAUACCCCAGUAGUCGAAGCAGAAAAUGAUGAAUGUCAUAGAUUAGAUAUAUAAGUUUAUUCUAUAAAUGAAAGUGUAAGCAUUCCACCUCAUGAGUAAUUUGGCAACAUUGGAACUGAAAUCAUUAGACCGUUUCUGAAACCAGUAGUGAAGUAUGUUGUUUAAUUUGAUGAUCCGCAAAAAACCUUACCACAAUUUGAAUAUUUAUAUUAUUUAUUGUUUUAUUAUUAAUUUUCUUGAACGUAAAGAUCACGUAAAAGAAAAUUAAUAAAGAGGCAAUAAGAUAUAUUUACAAGCGUUGCACGGCUGUCUUCAGUUAAUGUCGCGAGACUUUGGUUAGUUCCAUUAAAUUAACGUAAACCCUUACUUUAUUUUUAUAUAGAGUAGUUCCCCGCUAUAUUGGAUAUGAUAACAGGGACUAAGACAA